rnacentral:rRNA from 1 species
GACGAACCGUACGAACGUUAUUCGGAAUCACUGGGCUUAAAGGGCGCGUAGGCGGGCGACCAAGUCCGGGGUGAAAUCUUUCGGCUCAACCGGAAGAGUGCCUUGGAUACUGGUUGCCUCGAGGGAGGUAGGGGCAUGCGGAACUUCCGGUGGAGCGGUGAAAUGCGUAGAUAUCGGAAGGAACGCCGGUGGCGAAAGCGGCGUGCUGGACCUCUUCUGACGCUGAGGCGCGAAAGCCAGGGGAGCGAACGGG